rnacentral:rRNA from 1 species
AGUGAACGCUGGCGGUAGGCCUAACACAUGCAAGUCGAACGGCAGCACAGUAAGAGCUUGCUCUUACGGGUGGCGAGUGGCGGACGGGUGAGGAAUACAUCGGAAUCUACUUUUUCGUGGGGGACAACGUAGGGAAACUUACGCUAAUACCGCAUACGACCUACGGGUGAAAGCAGGGGAUCUUCGGACCUUGCGCGAUUGAAUGAGCCGAUGUCGGAUUAGCUAGUUGGCGGGGUAAAGGCCCACCAAGGCGACGAUCCGUAGCUGGUCUGAGAGGAUGAUCAGCCACACUGGAACUGAGACACGGUCCAGACUCCUACGGGAGGCAGCAGUGGGGAAUAUUGGACAAUGGGCACAAGCCUGAUCCAGCCAUACCGCGUGGGUGAAGAAGGCCUUCGGGUUGUAAAGCCCUUUUGUUGGGAAAGAAAAGCAGCAGGUUAAUACCCCGCUGUUCUGACGGUACCCAAAGAAUAAGCACCGGCUAACUUCGUG